rnacentral:rRNA from 1 species
UACGAAGGGGGCUAGCGUUGUUCGGAAUCUCUGGGCGUAAAGCGCACGUAGGCGGAUCUUUAAGUCAGGGGUGAAAUCCCGAGGCUCAACCUCGGAACUGCCUUUGAUACUGGGGAUCUCGAGUCCGGGAGAGGUGAGUGGAACUGCGAGUGUAGAGGUGAAAUUCGUAGAUAUUCGCAAGAACACCAGUGGCGAAGGCGGCUCACUGGCCCGGAACUGACGCUGAGGUGCGAAAGCGUGGGGAGCAAACAGG